GACGAACGCUGGCGGCGUGCUUAACACAUGCAAGUCGAACGGAAAGGCCCUGCUUUUGUGGGGUGCUCGAGUGGCGAACGGGUGAGUAACACGUGAGUAACCUGCCCUUGACUUUGGGAUAACUUCAGGAAACUGGGGCUAAUACCGGAUAGGAGCUCCUGCUGCAUGGUGGGGGUUGGAAAGUUUCGGCGGUUGGGGAUGGACUCGCGGCUUAUCAGCUUGUUGGUGGGGUAGUGGCUUACCAAGGCUUUGACGGGUAGCCGGCCUGAGAGGAUGACCGGCCACAUUGGGACUGAGAUACGGCCCAGACUCCUACGGGAGGCAGCAGUGGGGAAUAUUGCACAAUGGGCGGAAGCCUGAUGCAGCAACGCCGCGUGCGGGAUGAAGGCCUUCGGGUUGUAAACCGCUUUCGCCUGUGACGAAGCGUGAGUGACGGUAAUGGGUAAAGAAGCACCGGCUAACUACGUG
rnacentral:rRNA from 1 species